GACGAACGCUGGCGGCGUGCUUAACACAUGCAAGUCGAACGGUGAAGCGCCUUCCUUUUUGGUGGGUGUGGAUGAGUGGCGAACGGGUGAGUAACACGUGAGUAACCUGCCCCCUUCUUCUGGAUAACCGCAUGAAAGUGUGGCUAAUACGGGAUAUUCUGGGUCUGUCGCAUGAUGGGUCUGGGAAAGAUAUUGUUUCGGUGGGGGAUGGGCUCGCGGCCUAUCAGCUUGUUGGUGGGGUGAUGGCCUACCAAGGCGGUGAUGGGUAGCCGGCCUGAGAGGGUGGACGGUCACACUGGGACUGAGACACGGCCCAGACUCCUACGGGAGGCAGCAGUGGGGAAUAUUGCACAAUGGGCGCAAGCCUGAUGCAGCGACGCCGCGUGAGGGAUGGAGGCCUUCGGGUUGUGAACCUCUUUCGCCAGUGAAGCAGGCCUGCCUCGUUUGUGGGUGGGUUGACGGUAGCUGGAUAAGAAGCGCCGGCUAACUACGUG
rnacentral:rRNA from 1 species